rnacentral:rRNA from 1 species
UACGGGGGGGCAAGCGUUGUUCGGAAUUACUGGGCGUAAAGGGCUCGUAGGCGGCCAACUAAGUCAGACGUGAAAUCCCUCGGCUUAACCGGGGAACUGCGUCUGAUACUGGAUGGCUUGAAUCCGGGAGAGGGAUGCGGAAUUCCAGGUGUAGCGGUGAAAUGCGUAGAUAUCUGGAGGAACACCGGUGGCGAAGGCGGCAUCCUGGACCGGCAUUGACGCUGAGGAGCGAAAGCCAGGGGA